GACGAACGCUGGCGGCGUGCUUAACACAUGCAAGUCGAACGGAAAGGCCCUGCUUGCAGGGUACUCGAGUGGCGAACGGGUGAGUAACACGUGGGUGAUCUGCCCUGCACUUCGGGAUAAGCCUUGGAAACUGGGUCUAAUACCGGAUAGGAGCCAUUUUUAGUGUGAUGGUUGGAAAGUUUUUUCGGUGUAGGAUGAGCUCGCGGCCUAUCAGCUUGUUGGUGGGGUAAUGGCCUACCAAGGCGGCGACGGGUAGCCGGCCUGCGAGGGUGGACGGCCACAAUGGGACUGGGAUACGGCCCAGACUCCUACGGGGGGCAGCAGUGGGGAAAAUUGCACAAUGGGCGCGAGCCUGAUGCAGCGACGCCGCGUGGGGGAUGACGGCCUUCGGGUUGUAAACUCCUUUCGCUAGGGACGAAGCUUUUUGUGACGGUACCUAGAUAAGAAGCACCGGCUAACUACGUG
rnacentral:rRNA from 1 species